GCCUGGCUGGCUCUAUCGGUAGAGCGUGUGACUGCUGAUUUCCAGGUCGUGAGUUCGAGCCCCACGUUGGGGA
rnacentral:tRNA from 1 species